rnacentral:rRNA from 1 species
UACGGAGGGUGCAAGCGUUAUCCGGAUUCACUGGGUUUAAAGGGUGCGUAGGCGGGCAGGUAAGUCAGUGGUGAAAUCUUUGGGCUUAACCCGAAAACUGCCAUUGAUACUAUCUGUCUUGAAUAUUGUGGAGGUUUGCGGAAUAUGUCAUGUAGCGGUGAAAUGCUUAGAUAUGACAUAGAACACCUAUUGCGAAGGCAGCAAACUACGCAUAUAUUGACGCUGAGGCACGAAAGCGUGGGGAU